rnacentral:rRNA from 1 species
GACGAACGCUGGCGGCGUGCCUAAUACAUGCAAGUCGAACGAACCGCGACUAGGUGCUUGCACUUGGUCAAGGUGAGUGGCGAACGGGUGAGUAACACGUGGGUAACCUACCUCAUAGUGGGGGAUAACAGUCGGAAACGACUGCUAAUACCGCAUAGGACAUAGGAUCACAUGAUCCAGUGAGGAAAGGUGGCGCAAGCUAUCGCUAAGAGAUGGACCCGCGGUGCAUUAGCUAGUUGGUAGGGUAAAGGCCUACCAAGGCGAUGAUGCAUAGCCGACCUGAGAGGGUGAUCGGCCACAUUGGGACUGAGUCACGGCCCAAACUCCUACGGGAGGCAGCAGUAGGGAAUCUUCCGCAAUGGACGCAAGUCUGACGGAGCAACGCCGCGUGAGUGAAGAAGGUCUUCGGAUCGUAAAGCUCUGUUGUUAGAGAAGAACAGCGCAUAGAGUAACUGUUAUGCGUGUGACGGUAUCUAACCAGAAAGCCACGGCUAACUACGUG